GAGAGGUAUAAGAGGUUGUGAGAUAGACACCCUGUGGUUGUUGGGAGUAGAACCUGAGUCCUCUGCGGGAACAAUUGUUCUUAGUAGGAGUCUUCUCCUCAGCCCCAAUGAGGCAUUUUAAAUAAGCCUUUUGACUUUGGGUGAUUUAAAGCUGUAAUUCUAAGGUGAAUGACAUCUGCCUCUUGAGUCAGGGUUGGCUAAGACAUAUCACAGCUCCUCCCCAGGCCUAAAUGUCUGUGAGUAGAGAAACUCACUUCAGCAGCUGAGACAUGGAACAUGGAUGAAACCCACUGCAAAAACAAAACAGUGCCCUGUGUGGAAGCUCCUGCUGUUAAUCCCAGCACACAGGAGGCAGGAGCAAGCAGACCUCUGUGAGUUCGAGGCCCACCUGGUGGACAUAGUAAGUGCCUGGGCUACCUAGAGAGACACUGCCUCCAGAAAGCCAAACCCCAACCCAACGUAAACCAAAUCAAAAGAAACAAUAACAACAACAAAAGCCCAUGAAAGUGAAAGAGGAAAAAAACAAA
rnacentral:lncRNA from 1 species